CAGCCGCCGCGGUAAUACCGGCGGCCCGAGUGGCGGUCACUAUUAUUGGGCUUAAAGCGUCCGUAGCCGGGUUGGGAAGUCCUCCGGGAAAUCUGGCCGCUUAACGGUCAGAAUGCCGGAGGAUACUCCCAGCCUAGGGAGCGGGGGAGGCCGAGGGGAUUCCCGGGGUAGGGGGGAAAUCCUAUAAUCCCGGGAGGACCACCUGUGGCGAAGGCGCUCGGCGGGAACGCGUCCGACGGUGAGGGACGAAGGCCAGGGGAGCAAACCGGAUUAGAUACCCGGGUAGUCCUGGCUGUAAACGAUGCGGACUUUGUGUCGGACAAGCUAUGAGCUUGUCCGGUGCCGGAGGGAAACCGUUAAGUCCGCCGCCUGGGGAGUACGGCCGCAAGGCUGAAACUUAAAGGAAUUGGCGGG
rnacentral:rRNA from 1 species